GAACAAACUAAACCAUGUCUAUUAAUUGCUCCACAGGUGAAUGAUGUACCAGGUAUUCCAGCAAAUGCAGCCUGCCCAGCUUCAUCCUGAUAUUUCAUUCAUGUAAAUGAGCUUUACUGAGCAGUUACAGUAAAACUCAAAAGACUCUCCACAUGACUGGCUAAGAACAAGACCAGAGGGACCUUUAUCAUCCGGAUACAAGUUAUGAAAUAAUGAAACAAGUGGACUGCUUUCAAAACCGUUGGUUUAUACAAGGUCUGGUAGCUGGAGUGGAGAAAAAAGUCUGCAAGCACAGAAGAGUUUCAGCAUGGACAUUUUAUGUACUUUCUAGUACUUCACCACAUAAAGGUCCAGACUGUGCCUCAAAGCCACAGCCUGCGUUGGAGGGAAGGAUGGAGCAUACCGUAAGCAACAGCCCUAAGGAGGAAUUUUAUUGAGUCAUCCGGAUUUCCUGCUGGGGUGCAAGUACAGUAGUGGCAGAUGUGCCACUCCAGGAGACAGUGCAGCAUGCACUCUGCUCUACCUCUGCAACUUUGUAAACUGAUGUGAAGAAAGGGUGGGGCCAUGGCUUCAUUCUCAUCCUGCCCCUCCCAGGGAGGUUAGGAUACUAGCAAGUAUGCAUUUUUCAGCUACACUAUUGCUGGCCCCUACACAGGAACUGAAUGUUGGGGAAGAUAAUUAUGCAGGCUCAGCAAAGAGCCCGAAGACUGAAUGGACCACGCAGACUUAACUACCUUCUUGCCUUAGAGAUGUCCCUUCCAGGUGAGGGUGGAAACACACUGGCAUUUGUGCAGCAGUGUUGGAAACUAGCAUUACUGCUGUGUGUGUCCUGUGGUUGAGUAGUGGACUUCAGUUUUUGUGGCUGCCCAUCUGAAUCAAUUCACUCAGCAAUAAAUACAUGCAAAUUUAUAUUAAAAAAAUUAAAAACUGGCAAUGUGUAAUAAUUGUUGCAGCACUGAUCAAAUAACCAGGACAUUCUGGGCCAGAUCUUCAGCUGGUAUAAAUCAGCAUAGUUCCAUUGUCAUCAAGGUUCUCAAGAUUAGGUUUAAGCUUCACUAUGGGUUUGGAUUUAUUUUCCUGCUGAACUGUGCAAACUAAGGACACCAAUUAAGUUUCCUGGCUUUUGUUGGCUGUUUCAAAAUGUUAUUUAAAUGUAGUUUUAUUUUGUUUUUAAUAUUUCUAAAGUUUAUACCAACUAUGGCAAAGUUUCUGUCUUGUAUAAGUCUAUUUCAGUUGUUAUUGAAACUUCAGACUCUUUCUGUUUAGGUAAAAAGAUCUGGGCAUAUUUUGCAAUGCCAAAUUCAGCCAGUUAAACAGCUGUAAGAUUAAACACGGACAUGAUUUACUUCAUAAUUGUAUCUUGUCCUGUAACUGUAUUGUACUGCUGGAUUUACUCUGCAAUGUCUUUAAGCUUCCCCAUGGAUAUAUACACAAUGUAAACACACUGUCAAGAUUAACUGAGAUGGACCAAUUGUCCUCUAAAAAUACAUUUAAUGAAUGAGAAAUAAAUAGUAGGAUAGUGGCUAGUAAAAACUGCACAAUGUGGAUUUAUUAAAGUGCAACAAAAAUCAUAAAAUUAAAAUCACAUCAAUAAAUAAAUAAUUAAAAGAAGAAUUCACAAUGAAAUGUUGUAGAGUAAGAUUCUAGGCUAACCAAGAAAUUUGAAGCUUA